rnacentral:misc_RNA from 1 species
AAAGUCGUAACAAGGUUUCCGUAGGUGAACCUGCGGAAGGAUCAUUAAAACAAAUUGUCUUUCAUGAUUAUUUCAACCACUUGUGAACCAAAAAACCUUACGCUUCGGUAGCAAGCUUUGGUCCCUUCAUUGGGUCAAGCUGUCAGCCUGCCGGCAGCACUACAAACCAAACCUGUUUUAAAACAUUGUCUGAACAAAACCAUUUUCGAAUGAAAAUUAAAACUUUCAACAACGGAUCUCUUGGUUCUC